CCUAGAUGCACAAGCAAGCGGUGAAAAUGCUGCAGCCAAAACAGUAGCAAGAGCAUGGUGGAAUUUCUAAGAAGAGGUCCAAACAUGAGAAUUCCAAUGCCUCCACUAACCUCAAUCCUAGUAUUUUAAUGGUAACUUUUGUUACUUGCCCACACUUUUUUGUCUCCCACUCCAUGUCCUCUCUUCUCCAUAACUACAUCUUAACUAGUUAUUGCUUUCUCCUGCUAAUUUCCCAGCAUCCUAAUGCCUAUAUUUCAAAUUGUGAUGUCUCCUCCAUAUGAGAAAACAUACUAAUUAAACCACCACAAAUCCAUCCUAAAGAAGAACCCCUUUUAAGGAUCCUAAUUAUUAACAUACGAG
rnacentral:misc_RNA from 1 species